GACGAACGCUGGCGGCGUGCUUAACACAUGCAAGUCGAACGGAAAGGCCCGGCUUUUCUUGGGUGCUCGAGUGGCGAACGGGGGAAUCACACGUGAGUAACCUGCGCUUGCCUUUGGGAUAACUUCAGGAAACUGGGGCUAAUACCUGAUAGGCGCGCCUGCUGCGUGGGGGGGGUUGGAAGGUUGCGGCGGUUGGGGAUGGACUCGCGGCUGAUCAGCUUGUUGGUGGGGUAGUGGCUGACCAAGGCGUUGACGGGGAGCGGGCCUGAGAGGGGGACCGGCGACAUUGGGCCGGAGAUACGGCCCAGACUCCUACGGGAGGCAGCAGUGGGGAACAGUGCACAAUGGGCGGAAGCCUGAUGCAGCAACGCCGGGUGCGGGAUGACGGCCUUCUGGUUGUCAACCGCUUGCGCCUGUGACGAAGCGGUAGUGACGGUAAUGGGUAAAGAAGCACCGGCUAACUACGUG
rnacentral:rRNA from 1 species